CACAAGCGGUGGAGCAUGUGGUUUAAUUCGAUGCAACGCGAAGAACCUUACCUACUCUUGACAUCCAGAGAACUUAGCAGAGAUGCUUUGGUGCCUUCGGGAACUCUGAGACAGGUGCUGCAUGGCGGUCGUCAGCUCGUGUUGUGAAAUGUUGGGUUAAGUCCCGCAACGAGCGCAACCCUUAUCCUUUGUUGCCAGCGGUUCGGCCGGGAACUCAAAGGAGACUGCCAGUGAUAAACUGGAGGAAGGUGGGGAUGACGUCAAGUCAUCAUGGCCCUUACGAGUAGGGCUACACACGUGCUACAAUGGCAUAUACAAAGAGAAGCGACCUCGCGAGAGCAAGCGGACCUCAUAAAGUAUGUCGUAGUCCGGAUUGGAGUCUGCAACUCGACUCCAUGAAGUCGGAAUCGCUAGUAAUCGUAGAUCAGAAUGCUACGGUGAAUACGUUCCCGGGCCUUGUACACACCGCCCGUCACACCAUGGGAGUGGGUUGCAAAAGAAGUAGGUAGC
rnacentral:rRNA from 1 species